AACGUAGGAGGCAAGCGUUAUCCGGAGUUACUGGGCGUAAAGCGUGCGUAGGCGGGUUGGUAAGUGGGUGGUGAAAGCGCUCGGCUAAACCGGGCGAGUGCCAUCCAGACUGCCAGUCUAGAGGCGGAUAGAGGGGUGCGGAAUUCCGGGUGUAGCGGUGAAAUGUGUAGAGAUCCGGAGGAACACCGACGGCGUAGGCAGCGCCCUGGCGAGUGACUGACGCUGAGGUGCGAAAGCCAGGGGAGCGAACGGG
rnacentral:rRNA from 1 species